CUCUUCUCCUUUGGAGAUUCCUCACACGCAGUCAGCAGGCUGGAGCCAGCAGGCUGGAGCGCCUCAGGGGCAGCACGGACGCUCACUUGUAAGCCCCAAGGGCCUCCGGCCAACCAGAGCUCCGCUCGAACUUGCGCUCGCAGAGCAGAGCGUGCAUGUGCGCCUCUCCAGAGCACGGAAAGCGACGGCCUGGCCGGCCGCUUGCGCCGCCGGAGCGACGUGGAAGUGAAACGCGCGGGGCUGGGCCGGGGCCCCCGGAGAGCGGGCCGAGAAACUCGGCGGCUUUCUCUGGUUUAAAAAACAAAGAAAGAAAGAAAAGAGAGAGCGAGGAGGGUGAGAGAAAGGGAGCGAGGAAGAGGAAAGAGGGAGGGGUUCUAUGCUAGACGGCUGGGGCCCUGAGGCCGGAGGGGAGGCUGCGGGACCGCAGCUCGGCUCGGAGGUCGGAGGCCGGGGCUUUCCCGUAAUAACGGACGAAAUUUCGGAGCCAAUCAGCCGUGGAGGAAAGAAAAAAAGGUGGACAAUGGAGCUCCCCCCGACCCUGUUUGCACUCCAGUUUACUAGAAAAAGAUAUGUGAGAGCUGAGGGGGAAGAAUGUGAGGAGUUCUUUCUCUGAAGAGAAAAAAGAAAACUCCAGGGUAAG